rnacentral:rRNA from 1 species
ACGCUGGCGGCACGCCUAACACAUGCAAGUCGAACGAAGUAGCAAUACUUAGUGGCAGACGGGUGAGUAACAUGUAGGUAUCUGCCCUUUGGCCUGGAAUAACACGAGGAAACUUGUGCUAAUACCGGAUAAGUCUUUACGGAGAAAGCUUUAUGCACCAUUGGAUGAGCCUGCACUUGAUUAGUUUGUUGGUGGGGUAAUGGCCUACCAAGACUGUGAUCAAUAGCUGAUUUGAGAGGAUGAUCAGCCACAUUGGGACUGAGACACGGCCCAAACUCCUACGGGAGGCAGCAGUGGGGAAUCUUGCACAAUGGAGGAAACUCUGAUGCAGCGAUGCCGCGUGAGUGAAGAAGGCCCUUGGGUUGUAAAGCUCUUUCGUCGGGGAAGAAAAUGACUGUACCCGAAUAAGAAGGUCCGGCUAACUUCGUGCCAGCAGCCGCGGUAAUACGAAGGGACCUAGCGUAGUUCGGAAUUACUGGGCUUAAAGAGUUCGUAGGUGGUUGAAAAAGUUAGUGGUGAAAUCCCAGAGCUUAACUCUGGAACUGCCAUUAAAACUUUUCAGCUAGAGUAUGAUAGAGGAAAGCAGAAUUUCUAGUGUAGAGGUGAAAUUCGUAGAUAUUAGAAAGAAUACCAAUUGCGAAGGCAGCUUUCUGGAUCAUUACUGACACUGAGGAACGAAAGCAUGGGUAGCGAAGAGGAUUAGAUACCCUCGUAGUCCAUGCCGUAAACGAUGUGUGUUAGACGUUGGAAAUUUAUUUUCUGUGUCGCAGGGAAACCGAUAAACACACCGCCUGGGGAGUACGACCGCAAGGUUAAAACUCAAAUGAAUUGACGGGGACCCGCACAAGUAGUGGAGCAUGUGGUUUAAUUCGAAGAUACGCGCAGAACCUUACCAACACUUGACAUGUUCGUCGCGACUCUAAGAGAUUAGAGUUUUCGGUUCGGCCGGACGAAACACAGGUGCUGCAUGGCUGUCGUCAGCUCGUGUCGUGAGAUGUUGGGUUAAGUCCCGCAACGAGCGCAACCCUCACUUUUAGUUGCCAUCAUUAAGUUGGGCACUCUGAAAGAACUGCCAGUGAUAAGCUGGAGGAAGGUGGGGAUGACGUCAAGUCCUCAUGGCCCUUACGUGUUGGGCUACACACGUGCUACAAUGGCGGUGACAGUGGGAAGCGAACGGGCAACCUGGAGCUAAUCCCCAAAAGCCGUCUCAGUUCGGAUUGUACUCUGCAACUCGAGUGCAUGAAGGUGGAAUCGCUAGUAAUCGCGGAUCAGCAUGCCGCGGUGAAUACGUUCCCGGGCCUUGUACUCACCGC